rnacentral:rRNA from 1 species
CGUAGGGGGCAAGCGUUGUCCGGAUUUAUUGGGCGUAAAGAGCGUGUAGGCGGCCAGUCAGGUCCGUUGUGAAAACUCGAGGCUCAACCUCGAGACGCCGAUGGAAACCGACUGGCUAGAGUCCGGAAGAGGAGAGUGGAAUUCCCGGUGUAGCGGUGAAAUGCGCAGAUAUCGGGAAGAACACCCGUGGCUAAGGCGGCUCUCUAGUACGGUACUGACGCUGAGACGCGAAAGCGUGGGGAGCGAACAGGAUUAGAUACCCUGGUAGUCCACGCCGUAAACGAUGGGUACUAGGUGUGGGGGUGUCGACUCCCUCCGUGCCGAAGCUAACGCAUUAAGCACCCCGCCUGGGGAGUACGGCCGCAAGGCUA